AGGACGAACGCUGGCGGCGUGCCUAACACAUGCAAGUCGAACGGGACCAGGGGCAACUCUGGUUCAGUGGCGGACGGGUGCGUAACACGUGAGGAACAUGACUUUCGGUGGGGGAUAGCCGGCCCAACGGCCGGGUAAUACCGCGUACGACCUUUUGGGGACAUCCCUGAUUGGUGAAAGCAGCAGUGCGCCGAAAGAGUGCCUCGCGGCCUAUCAGCUAGUUGGUGGGGUAAUGGCUCACCAAGGCGACGACGGGUA
rnacentral:rRNA from 1 species